rnacentral:rRNA from 1 species
GAUGAACGCUGGCGGCGUGCUUAACACAUGCAAGUCGAACGGGAAACCUUUUAUUGAAGCUUCGGCAGAUUUAGCUGGUUUCUAGUGGCGGACGGGUGAGUAACGCGUGGGUAACCUGCCUUAUACGGGGGGAUAACAACCAGAAAUGGUUGCUAAUACCGCAUAAGCGCACAGGACCGCGUGGUCCGGUGUGAAAAACUCCGGUGGUAUAAGAUGGACCCGCGUUGGAUUAGCUAGUUGGCAGGGUAACGGCCUACCAAGGCGACGAUCCAUAGCCGGCCUGAGAGGGUGAACGGCCACAUUGGGACUGAGACACGGCCCACACUCCUACGGGAGGCAGCAGUGGGGAAUAUUGCACAAUGGGGGAAACCCUGAUGCAGCGACGCCGCGUGAAGGAAGAAGUAUCUCGGUAUGUAAACUUCUAUCAGCAGGGAAGAUAGUGACGGUACCUGACUAAGAAGCCCCGGCUAACUACGUGCCAGCAGCCGCGGUAAUACGUAGGGGGCAAGCGUUAUCCGGAUUUACUGGGUGUAAAGGGAGCGUAGACGGACUGGCAAGUCUGAUGUGAAAGGCGGGGGCUCAACCCCUGGACUGCAUUGGAAACUGUUAGUCUUGAGUGCCGGAGAGGUAAGCGGAAUUCCUAGUGUAGCGGUGAAAUGCGUAGAUAUUAGGAGGAACACCAGUGGCGAAGGCGGCUUACUGGACGGUAACUGACGUUGAGGCUCGAAAGCGUGGGGAGCAAACAGGAUUAGAUACCCUGGUAGUCCACGCCGUAAACGA